CGAGAAGGGUCCAGCUGCAGGCUUGGGCGUUCCCGUCAUGACACAAAAACGCCCAUCGGGCGUUCCCGUCAUGACACAAAAACGCCCAUCAGGCGUUCCUGUAGCGUUUCAUCGAUCAAUCAAGAAGAGUACCCUGGCACAUGCUUUGUCCAAUGGACCAUGGAAGGGACUUUACUUGGCUGACGAGGACGCACCUCACCAGUAUCAGAGCAACAGCUGUGGGGUGUUUAUGCUGAUGUACGCAAUGUAUUCUACCCUCAAAAGCAAUAUGAUUUCAGUGAGGUGAGUUCUUUCAAAUCUCAAUCAGAUGUGUAGCAUGAAAUAUAAGGCUUUUAAUAAUUUAGUCAUCCUUACUGGAGGCUACAAUUAACAUGCAUCAUAGGUCAUACACAUUACUUUGUCUUCAGGUACUGCACUUACGGGAGGAGAUGGCUACAUCUUCACAAUAAUUUACACUGCCAUAGUACACUGCUAAACAGUACUGUAACAUGGAUUUGUAUCAGGCUAUGAAGUCAUUUAAAGCAUAACUUUACUUUUCAGGGGGACAUGCUCUCUAUCAGGAGGUGGUGGUUGGACAGCUGUUGGAGACCUUUAUGCUUGAAAGGUUUAUAUACUGUGUCCAUGUUGCUAUUUACUUAUUUUUGGU